UUGUUGGCCUCGAGCGCGCCCAUCCACCACGUGUUCCAACGAGCCCUUCGCUCCGCGGACAGGUCCGGGCCGUCGUUGACGGUCAGGAGCUUGGGGUUACGUUUGGGGGUUAUGAUGGGACCGCCGGUGACGGGCGGGUUGGAGGUGCUCGCGGUGACCAGCGACGGAAGGGCGUCGUCCUCGGGCGCGCCGUUGGAGGCGAGGGUAUGCAUGAGGAAGCGGCUGGACGCGGACGCGCCGUGCAGCCACCACAUCGGAUCCGAGUGUUCACCGGACCCAUCCCCGCGGUUCCCUCGUCCGGACGCGCGCUGGUGCCACGAGGGUGACGGCGACGGCGACACGUGCGCGUCCUCGGCGCCGUUCUUACUCCAGGUCAGCGUCAUUCCCGAGCGGGGAAGCGGGGGCAGGGUCCAAACCGCCGUGCCCCGAUGAAGCGCCCCGGCGCGAACAUCCCGACGGCUGGAACCGACUCCCAAAUCGAGUGCACGACGCACCGAGGGUAUCGACGGCCCGGUGAGCGCCAUGUCGCGCGCAGUCCGGUUGCGCAGUCCGGUGUUUGUUUGAACCCGCGGGCCCUCCGCCGUGCUUUGUGGCGCGAAAUCGACAGGUUGUCGGCCGAACUCGCGCUCUGAUUGGUCGACGAUUUCGUUGCUCCUCGAGAGGCUGCGAGCUCCCUCCGUGUCGUGAACGAAUGCGACUAAACGACUAUCCGCUACAGUCCCGUUCGGUCCACCGCCACGACGGGCACACCGGACCCGCGGUGGGGUCUGAACCGCGGCAUGGCCCACAACCACCACCAGUGCUUCCCCUUCUCGUCAAAUGCCUCUCGCCAGUUGGCGCGC
rnacentral:lncRNA from 1 species